AUUGAACGCUGGCGGCAGGCUUAACACAUGCAAGUCGAGCGAGCGGCGGACGGGUGAGUAAUGUCUGGGCACCUGCCUGAUGGAGGGGGAUAACUACUGGAAACGGUAGCUAAUACCGCAUACCAUCAGAUGUGCCCAGAUGGGAUUAGCUAGUAGGUGGGGUAAUGGGUCACCUAGGCGACGAUCCCUAGCUGGUCUGAGAGGAUGACCAGGCAAACUGGAACUGAGACACGGUCCAGACUCCUACGGGAGGCAGCAGUGGGGAAUAGUGCACAAUGGGGGAAAGCCUGAUGGAGCAAUGCCGCGUGUGUGAAGAAGGGCUUCGGGUGGUAAAGCACUUUCAGCGAGGAGGCGUUACUCGCAGAAGAAGCACCGGCUAACUCCGUGCCAGCCGCCGCGGUAAUUC
rnacentral:rRNA from 1 species